AAUAUGUCCUCUAAUAUUUAUCUGUUUUCUUCAAUGUCAGGGCCUCUAACAGCUGACCACUGGGAUGUGCAGGUAUCCAGAGGAGACUCAGUCAUGUUCACUUGCAACAUGUCCAACGAGAACACAACGAUGAUCCGAUGGAACAAAGACAGAUAUUAUUUUACACACUCCGUCUCUCGUAAUCAAACGUCUUCAAAUUUCUCCUUCCACAGACUGAGAAUAGAUACAAACAUACCUACUACGCUUAAUGUUUUUAGUGCUCAACAAGAUGAUGCAGGACUUUAUUCAUGCACCAUAACUAACCCAAAAGGCAUUAACAACACAACGUGGACUUUAACGGUAUCUGAGAACCCAAACGAAUCCAAUUUAUCACAGCAUAUUACAAUCACAUUACCAUCUGCCUUUGGAUUGCUUUUAUGUUUCACUGCAUUAGCAGUCUGCCUCUGCAGCAGAAGACAUAGCACCAGAGAAGAAAAUCAGAAACCGGUCCAAAGCCAGUCUCAGCUUCAAUCAGAAGGACAGGAUGUCCCCACUCAACCACAAGCUUGUACAGAUCGGUUGAGGUACAAAAAGCAGGGGAGAGAGUACAUGGAGAGGCUGAAUUCAGUUUAUGGUCAACUCUGAACUG